rnacentral:lncRNA from 1 species
AUUCCGGGGAGAAAGCCUGGUGAUAAGUUUUCUUUUGAACUGUAGUCUAUUUCAAAGAUGGACUAGAUUAAGGUUAAAGUAACCAUUACAAACGGACUCUGGUACAGUCUGAGGUUAAAUUGGACCAUGAGCAAGUAAAAGAAUUAUAAUGAAACCGAUUUUUGGAUUCGUAUUGUUGAUAGACUCUGUUAACUGAAAUUUGAUCAUCCAAAGACAGAAGUUGGAAAGAAAGAAUUCAUUGGAAGAAAGGUUGGAAUAUUUCAAGGUGCAAGAAAACAAUGGUCAGAUAAACUGGAAGCUCCAUCGGAGCCUUCAGAGUUUCCAGCUACAACCAGGAUCAUUAGCGG